rnacentral:rRNA from 1 species
ACGGGGGUGGCGAGCGUUACUCGGAUUUAUUGGGUGUAAAGGGCAGGUAGGCGUUCCGUUAAGUUAGAGGUGAAAUCCUAAGGCUCAACCUUAGAACUGCCUCUAAUACUGGCGGAAUUGAGGCUGUAAGAAGAAAGCGGAAUUCCCGGUGAGAGGGUGUAAUGUAGAGUUAUGGGGAUGAACUGCAGCAGCUGGAGCAGCAUUCUAGUUCAGAUCUCACGGUAGUCCGCCAAACCUCGGGAAGAGAUGUG